UACCAGCACCCCGAGUGGUCGGGACGAUUAUUGGGCCUAAAGCAUCCGUAGCCGGUUUUACAAGUCCUCCGUUAAAUCCAACUGCUUAACAGAUGGGCCGCGGAGGAUACUACAAGACUAGGAGGCAGGAGAGGCAAGCGGUACUCAGUGGGUAGGGGUAAAAUCCUGUAAUCCUUCGGGGAGGACCAGUGGCGAAGGCGUCACGCUAGAACGGCUCCGACAGUGAGGGACGAAGCCCUGGGGCGCAAACCGG
rnacentral:rRNA from 1 species